CAGUUGAGACGUGUUCUGGGAGAUCCAGGAAGAUGGAACACACCCCUGUCCUCAUCCAUGGGGAGGAGGUGGAGCGGGUGGACAACAUCAAGUUCCUGGGCAUCCACAUUACAUCUGACCUCACUUGGUCCGCA